AUUGCACGCUGGCGGCAGGCCUAACACAUGCAAGUCGAGCGGAGCGGCGGACGGGUGAGUAAUGCCUAGGACUCUGCCUUGUAGUGGGGGAUAACGUCCGGAAACGGGCGCUAAUACCGCAUACUCUCAGCUGAGCCUAGGUCGGAUUAGCUCGUUGGUGGGGUAAAGGGCUACCACGGCGACGAUCCGUAACUGGUCUGAGAGUAUGACCAGUCACACUGGAACGGAGACACGCUCCAGACGCCUACGGGAGGCAGCAGUGGGAAAUAUUGAAUAAUGGGCGCAAGCCUGAUGCAGCCAUGCCGCGUGUAUGAAGAAGGCCGGCGGGUUGUAAAGGACUUUCAGCGGGGAGGCGUUACCCGAAGAAGAAGCACCGGCUAACUCCGUGCAAGCAGCCGCGGUAAUUG
rnacentral:rRNA from 1 species